UUGCCUGGAAUUCUGCAGCCAAGUCUCCUGCUUUCUACUCACUUUUUGGACUCUUGGAGAUCUGACAUGCUACUGGUGACAUCAUGAAGCACAAGUGGAGAAGAAGGAAGUGUCAGGAAUGCCACACACAGAGGAGAAAAGAAGAUGGAGGAAAAGGAAAGGAACUCUGGGCACAGUAACCAACCUCAAAUCAGGCCUCAGGUCAUGUAAUUAGACUGUAGGGGAAUCUCGAGCCUCUUAAUACCUUGAGCAGAGUGACCGCCCUGUAAGCUGGGUCCCGGUCUGUGCUAUUGUGUCGUUUUGACAUUCUGCUCCGAUAUCUGGCUAUUGAGGGUGACUGCCCUGUAAUCAGGGUGUAAGUCACUUCCCUCUGUCUUUGGAGGGGCAUUGAGCUUUUUGUUAAACUGAGCAAUGUGACCGCCCUGUAUCUGGGGUCCGGGUCUCUGCCCUCUUGCUCAUUUGGCUUUACGCCGUGCUCUGCCCCAUUAGUCAGCGUGACAACCCUGUAAUUAGGGUCUAUGUCACAAGCCUCUCUAGGAUGGGACAUAUUGAGCUCUUUGGUACUUUGACAGCUUGACCUUCCUGUAAUUCAGGUUAUGGUCUCCCCUAUUUGGCUAAUGCCAGCGACCACCCUGUAAUCAGGGUACAGGUUGCACCUCGCUUUUGAAAUCUGGGGGAUUAGAAUCAUGACCAUAACAUGGGCAGCUUGACCUCCCUGUAACUAGGGUUUGCGUCUCCGAGGCCCUUUGGGUCUCCGUUAUAGAGUUGGUGAAUGUGACUGCCCUGUAAUCAGGGUGCAAGUCACCUCCCCCUGUCUUUGGAGGGGCAUUGAGCUCUUUGUUCAACUGAGCAAUGUGACCGCCCUGUAACUGGGGUCUGGGUCUCUGCCCUCUUGCUCAUUUGGCUUUACGCCGUGCUCUGCCCCAUUAGUCAGCGUGACAACCCUGUAAUUAGGGUCUAUGUCACAAGCCUCUCUAGGAUGGGACAUAUUGAGCUCUUUGGUACUUUGACAGCUUGACCUUCCUGUAAUUCAGGUUAUGGUCUCUCCUCUUUGGCUAAUGCCAGUGACCACCCUGUAAUCAGGGUACAGGUUGCAUCUCGCUUUUGAAAUCUGGGGGAUUAGAAUCAUGACCAUAACAUGGGCAGCUUGACCUCCCUGUAACUAGGGUGUGCGUCUCCGAGGCCCUCUGGGUCUCUUGGCCUCGUGCUGUCUUCACAGCCUGCUGCCAACGACCGCCCUGUAAUCAGGGAUCUGGUCUUUGCCCUCUAGUCUCUUGGCACUUGGCCAAAUGCAGCCACUGCCCUGAAUGAGCACCCUGUAAACAGGGUACAGGUCUCAUCUGCUACUAUUUAUGGCACCCCCAUGACACUGUGUCCAGAGUUCCGGCCCUUCAAACAGCGCUUCCAACUUGCCUGGAAUUCUGCAGCCAAGUCUCCUGCUUUCUACUCACUUUUUGGACUCUCGGAGAUCUGACAUGCUACUGGUGACAUCAUGAAGCACAAGUGGAGAAGAAGGAAGUGUCAGGAAUGCCACACACAGAGGAGAAAAGAAGAUGGAGGAAAAGGAAAGGAACUCUGGGCACAGUAACCAACCUCAAAUCAGGCCUCAGGUCAUGUAAUUAGACUGUAGGGGAAUCUCGAGCCUCUUAAUACCUUGAGCAGCGUGACCGCCCUGUAAGCUGGGUCCCGGUCUGUGCUAUUGUGUCGUUUUGACAUUCUGCUCCGAUAUCUGGCUAUUGAGGGUGACUGCCCUGUAAUCAGGGUGUAAGUCACUUCCCUCUGUCUUUGGAGGGGCAUUGAGCUUUUUGUUAAACUGAGCAAUGUGACCGCCCUGUAUCUGGGGUCCGGGUCUCUGCCCACUUGCUCAUUUGGCUUUACGCCGUGCUCUGCCCCAUUAGUCAGCGUGACAACCCUGUAAUUAGGGUCUAUGUCACAAGCCUCUCUAGGAUGGGACAUAUUGAGCUCUUUGGUACUUUGACAGCUUGACCUUCCUGUAAUUCAGGUUAUGGUCUCCCCUAUUUGGCUAAUGCCAGCGACCACCCUGUAAUCAGGGUACAGGUUGCACCUCGCUUUUGAAAUCUGGGGGAUUAGAAUCAUGACCAUAACAUGGGCAGCUUGACCUCCCUGUAACUAGGGUUUGCGUCUCCGAGGCCCUUUGGGUCUCCGUUAUAGAGUUGGUGAAUGUGACUGCCCUGUAAUCAGGGUGCAAGUCACCUCCCCCUGUCUUUGGAGGGGCAUUGAGCUCUUUGUUCAACUGAGCAAUGUGACCGCCCUGUAACUGGGGUCUGGGUCUCUGCCCUCUUGCUCAUUUGGCUUUACGCCGUGCUCUGCCCCAUUAGUCAGUGUGACAACCCUGUAAUUAGGGUCCAUGUCACAAGCCUCUCUACCAUGGGACAUAUUGAGCUCUUUGGUACUUUGACAGCUUGACCUUCCUGUAAUUCAGGUUAUGGUCUCUCCUCUUUGGCUAAUGCCAGUGACCACCCUGUAAUCAGGGUACAGGUUGCAUCUCGCUUUUGAAAUCUGGGGGAUUAGAAUCAUGACCAUAACAUGGGCAGCUUGACCUCCCUGUAACUAGGGUGUGCGUCUCCGAGGCCCUCUGGGUCUCUUGGCCUCGUGCUGUCUUCACAGCCUGCUGCCAACGACCGCCCUGUAAUCAGGGAUCUGGUCUUUGCCCUCUAGUCUCUUGGCACUUGGCCAAAUGCAGCCACUGCCCUGAAUGAGCACCCUGUAAACAGGGUACAGGUCUCAUCUGCUACUAUUUAUGGCACCCCCAUGACACUGUGUCCAGAGUUCCGGCCCUUCAAACAGCGCUUCCAACUUGCCUGGAAUUCUGCAACCAAGUCUCCUGCUUUCUACUCACUUUUUGGACUCUCGGAGAUCUGACAUGCUACUGGUGACAUCAUGAAGCACAAGUGGAGAAGAAGGAAGUGUCAGGAAUGCCACACACAGAGGAGAAAAGAAGAUGGAGGAAAAGGAAAGGAACUCUGGGCACAGUAACCAACCUCAAAUCAGGCCUCAGGUCAUGUAAUUAGACUGUAGGGGAAUCUCGAGCCUCUUAAUACCUUGAGCAGCGUGACCGCCCUGUAAGCUGGGUCCCGGUCUGUGCUAUUGUGUCGUUUUGACAUUCUGCUCCGAUAUCUGGCUAUUGAGGGUGACUGCCCUGUAAUCAGGGUGUAAGUCACUUCCCUCUGUCUUUGGAGGGGCAUUGAGCUCUUUGUUAAACUGAGCAAUGUGACCGCCCUGUAUCUGGGGUCCGGGUCUCUGCCCUCUUGCUCAUUUGGCUUUACGCCGUGCUCUGCCCCAUUAGUCAGCGUGACAACCCUGUAAUUAGGGUCUAUGUCACAAGCCUCUCUAGGAUGGGACAUAUUGAGCUCUUUGGUACUUUGACAGCUUGACCUUCCUGUAAUUCAGGUUAUGGUCUCCCCUAUUUGGCUAAUGCCAGCGACCACCCUGUAAUCAGGGUACAGGUUGCACCUCGCUUUUGAAAUCUGGGGGAUUAGAAUCAUGACCAUAACAUGGGCAGCUUGACCUCCCUGUAACUAGGGUGUGCGUCUCCGAGGCCCUCUGGGUCUCUUGGCCUCGUGCUGUCUUCACAGCCUGCUGCCAACGACCGCCCUGUAAUCAGGGAUCUGGUCUUUGCCCUCUAGUCUCUUGGCACUUGGCCAAAUGCAGCCACUGCCCUGAAUGAGCACCCUGUAAACAGGGUACAGGUCUCAUCUGCUACUAUUUAUGGCACCCCCAUGACACUGUGUCCAGAGUUCCGGCCCUUCAAACAGCGCUUCCAACUUGCCUGGAAUUCUGCAGCCAAGUCUCCUGCUUUCUACUCACUUUUUGGACUCUUGGAGAUCUGACAUGCUACUGGUGACAUCAUGAAGCACAAGUGGAGAAGAAGGAAGUGUCAGGAAUGCCACACACAGAGGAGAAAAGAAGAUGGAGGAAAAGGAAAGGAACUCUGGGCACAGUAACCAACCUCAAAUCAGGCCUCAGGUCAUGUAAUUAGACUGUAGGGGAAUCUCGAGCCUCUUAAUACCUUGAGCAGCGUGACCGCCCUGUAAGCUGGGUCCCGGUCUGUGCUAUUGUGUCGUUUUGACAUUCUGCUCCGAUAUCUGGCUAUUGAGGGUGACUGCCCUGUAAUCAGGGUGUAAGUCACUUCCCUCUGUCUUUGGAGGGGCAUUGAGCUCUUUGUUAAACUGAGCAAUGUGACCGCCCUGUAUCUGGGGUCCGGGUCUCUGCCCUCUUGCUCAUUUGGCUUUACGCCGUGCUCUGCCCCAUUAGUCAGCGUGACAACCCUGUAAUUAGGGUCUAUGUCACAAGCCUCUCUAGGAUGGGACAUAUUGAGCUCUUUGGUACUUUGACAGCUUGACCUUCCUGUAAUUCAGGUUAUGGUCUCCCCUAUUUGGCUAAUGCCAGCGACCACCCUGUAAUCAGGGUACAGGUUGCACCUCGCUUUUGAAAUCUGGGGGAUUAGAAUCAUGACCAUAACAUGGGCAGCUUGACCUCCCUGUAACUAGGGUUUGCGUCUCCAAGGCCCUUUGGGUCUCCGUUAUAGAGUUGGUGAAUGUGACUGCCCUGUAAUCAGGGUGCAAGUCACCUCCCCCUGUCUUUGGAGGGGCAUUGAGCUCUUUGUUCAACUGAGCAAUGUGACCGCCCUGUAACUGGGGUCUGGGUCUCUGCCCUCUUGCUCAUUUGGCUUUACGCCGUGCUCUGCCCCAUUAGUCAGCGUGACAACCCUGUAAUUAGGGUCCAUGUCACAAGCCUCUCUAGCAUGGGACAUAUUGAGCUCUUUGGUACUUUGACAGCUUGACCUUCCUGUAAUUCAGGUUAUGGUCUCUCCUCCUUGGCUAAUGCCAGCGACCACCCUGUAAUCAGGGUACAGGUUGCAUCUCGCUUUUGAAAUCUGGGGGAUUAGAAUCAUGACCAUAACAUGGGCAGCUUGACCUCUCUGUAACUAGGGUGUGCGUCUCCGAGGCCCUCUGGGUCUCUUGGCCUCGUGCUGUCUUCACAGCCUGCUGCCAACGACCGCCCUGUAAUCAGGGAUCUGGUCUUUGCCCUCUAGUCUCUUGGCACUUGGCCAAAUGCAGCCACUGCCCUGAAUGAGCACCCUGUAAACAGGGUACAGGUCUCAUCUGCUACUAUUUAUGGCACCCCCAUGACACUGUGUCCAGAGUUCCGGCCCUUCAAACAGCGCUUCCAACUUGCCUGGAAUUCUGCAACCAAGUCUCCUGCUUUCUACUCACUUUUUGGACUCUCGGAGAUCUGACAUGCUACUGGUGACAUCAUGAAGCACAAGUGGAGAAGAAGGAAGUGUCAGGAAUGCCACACACAGAGGAGAAAAGAAGAUGGAGGAAAAGGAAAGGAACUCUGGGCACAGUAACCAACCUCAAAUCAGGCCUCAGGUCAUGUAAUUAGACUGUAGGGGAAUCUCGAGCCUCUUAAUACCUUGAGCAGCGUGACCGCCCUGUAAGCUGGGUCCCGGUCUGUGCUAUUGUGUCGUUUUGACAUUCUGCUCCGAUAUCUGGCUAUUGAGGGUGACUGCCCUGUAAUCAGGGUGUAAGUCACUUCCCUCUGUCUUUGGAGGGGCAUUGAGCUCUUUGUUAAACUGAGCAAUGUGACCGCCCUGUAUCUGGGGUCCGGGUCUCUGCCCUCUUGCUCAUUUGGCUUUACGCCGUGCUCUGCCCCAUUAGUCAGCGUGACAACCCUGUAAUUAGGGUCUAUGUCACAAGCCUCUCUAGGAUGGGACAUAUUGAGCUCUUUGGUACUUUGACAGCUUGACCUUCCUGUAAUUCAGGUUAUGGUCUCCCCUAUUUGGCUAAUGCCAGCGACCACCCUGUAAUCAGGGUACAGGUUGCACCUCGCUUUUGAAAUCUGGGGGAUUAGAAUCAUGACCAUAACAUGGGCAGCUUGACCUCCCUGUAACUAGGGUGUGCGUCUCCGAGGCCCUCUGGGUCUCUUGGCCUCGUGCUGUCUUCACAGCCUGCUGCCAACGACCGCCCUGUAAUCAGGGAUCUGGUCUUUGCCCUCUAGUCUCUUGGCACUUGGCCAAAUGCAGCCACUGCCCUGAAUGAGCACCCUGUAAACAGGGUACAGGUCUCAUCUGCUACUAUUUAUGGCACCCCCAUGACACUGUGUCCAGAGUUCCGGCCCUUCAAACAGCGCUUCCAACUUGCCUGGAAUUCUGCAACCAAGUCUCCUGCUUUCUACUCACUUUUUGGACUCUCGGAGAUCUGACAUGCUACUGGUGACAUCAUGAAGCACAAGUGGAGAAGAAGGAAGUGUCAGGAAUGCCACACACAGAGGAGAAAAGAAGAUGGAGGAAAAGGAAAGGAACUCUGGGCACAGUAACCAACCUCAAAUCAGGCCUCAGGUCAUGUAAUUAGACUGUAGGGGAAUCUCGAGCCUCUUAAUACCUUGAGCAGCGUGACCGCCCUGUAAGCUGGGUCCCGGUCUGUGCUAUUGUGUCGUUUUGACAUUCUGCUCCGAUAUCUGGCUAUUGAGGGUGACUGCCCUGUAAUCAGGGUGUAAGUCACUUCCCUCUGUCUUUGGAGGGGCAUUGAGCUCUUUGUUAAACUGAGCAAUGUGACCGCCCUGUAUCUGGGGUCCGGGUCUCUGCCCUCUUGCUCAUUUGGCUUUACGCCGUGCUCUGCCCCAUUAGUCAGCGUGACAACCCUGUAAUUAGGGUCUAUGUCACAAGCCUCUCUAGGAUGGGACAUAUUGAGCUCUUUGGUACUUUGACAGCUUGACCUUCCUGUAAUUCAGGUUAUGGUCUCCCCUAUUUGGCUAAUGCCAGCGACCACCCUGUAAUCAGGGUACAGGUUGCACCUCGCUUUUGAAAUCUGGGGGAUUAGAAUCAUGACCAUAACAUGGGCAGCUUGACCUCCCUGUAACUAGGGUUUGCGUCUCCGUUAUAGAGUUGGUGAAUGUGACUGCCCUGUAAUCAGGGUGCAAGUCAACUCCCCGUGUCUUUGGAGGGGCAUUGAGCUCUUUGUUAAACUGAGCAAUGUGACCGCCCUGUAACUGGGGUCUGGGUCUCUGCCCUCUUGCUCAUUUGGCUUUACGCCGUGCUCUGCCCCAUUAGUCAGCGUGACAACCCUGUAAUUAGGGUCCAUGUCACAAGCCUCUCUAGGAUGGGACAUAUCGAGCUCUUUGGUACUUUGACAGCUUGACCUUCCUGUAAUUCAGGUUAUGGUCUCCCCUAUUUGGCUAAUGCCAGCGACCACCCUGUAAUCAGGGUACAGGUUGCACCUCGCUUUUGAAAUCUGGGGGAUUAGAAUCAUGACCAUAACAUGGGCAGCUUGACCUCCCUGUAACUAGGGUUUGCGUCUCCGAGGCCCUUUGGGUCUCCGUUAUAGAGUUGGUGAAUGUGACUGCCCUGUAAUCAGGGUGCAAGUCACCUCCCCGUGUCUUUGGAGGGGCAUUGAGCUCUUUGUUAAACUGAGCAAUGUGACCGCCCUGUAACUGGGGUCUGGAUCUCUGCCCUCUUGCUCAUUUGGCUUUACGCCGUGCUCUGCCCCAUUAGUCAGCGUGACAACCCUGUAAUUAGGGUCCAUGUCACAAGCCUCUCUAGGAUGGGACAUAUCGAGCUCUUUGGUACUUUGACAGCUUGACCUUCCUGUAAUUCAGGUUAUGGUCUCUCCUCUUUGGCUAAUGCCAGCGACCACCCUGUAGUCAGGGUACAGGUUGCAUCUCGCUUUUGAAAUCUGGGGGAUUAGAAUCAUGACCAUAACAUGGGCAGCUUGACCUCCCUGUAACUAGGGUGUGCGUCUCCGAGGCCCUCUGGGUCUCUUGGCCUCGUGCUGUCUUCACAGCCUGCUGCCAACAACCGCCCUGUAAUCAGGGAUCUGGUCUUUGCCCUCUAGUCUCUUGGCACUUGGCCAAAUGCAGCCACUGCUCUGAAUGAGCACCCUGUCAACAGCGUACAGGUCUCAUCUGCUACUAUUUCUGGCGCCCCCAUGAGACUGUGUCAAGGGUUCCGGCCCUUCCAACAGCGCUUCCAACUUGCCUGGAAUUCUGCAGCCAAGUCUCCUGCUUUCUACUCACUUCUUGGACUCUUGGAGACCUGACAUGCUAUUGGUGGUAAGAUCCGAAAGGGAGUGUCCGGGGCGGUUUUGGACCGUUGUCGAAAGCGGUUCUCAUUUACACACUCCUUGUGCUCCCUCUCUCUGAUUCAGGCAUCAUGAAGCAGAAGUGGAGAAGAAGGAAGUGUCAGUACCAUGGUAUAACUGUGAAUCUGAAAUGCAUGGACCUUAAACACUCAAGUUGUAUAGAAUUAUAACUUCCUAUUAUUAAGAAAUCAUCAUUUCCUACUGGAAGUGCAAAGAUGUCACUUAAGGGAAGGUAUACAUUUGAAUCCUCCCCUCCCCUCCAAUUCUCCCCCCAAAACUCUUCAAAUAAAGUUAAGGUUCAGAAAAUUAACAUUUACUCCAGGUAACGCCUAACUUGUGUAUUUCUCACACAUUUCUCAAAGGAAGCAAACAAAACUAAAUGUUUUGGCAACUGGCAGUUACUCUCCGCACUUCACAACUUUCAAACACCUGCUCUACUUAAACGGUCACACCAACCAAAGUGUACCACACAUUCAAAAUUAACUUUGCAUCUAUUGUGUCAGAAGUGAGAGUGUUUUUAGUAGUUGUGUCCAUUGGUGGAAGUGGCAGUUGUGGUGUUUUAGUAGUCCUUUACGCUUAUUGAAUUCAAAGGAUGAUGAUGUGGAUGUUUUAGGUAGGUAUUUUUCUGUUAAGUCUUGGUAUUUGGGUGGAGGUGCAGUAUUUUGUGAUUAUGACUGUUUUUCUGGUAUUGGUUUAGUGUGAAUUGUUGGCAAUUCUAGAUGUUUUUGUAUCCGUACAUUAGUAGAUGUAUUUAGAGGGCAAAGCUGAGGUUGCCUGUUUGGUGCAAUUUAAUUGGUGUGAAAGUUAAUUUCGGGUAGGUGUUUGAAAGCACUGAGGUUUGAAUUUUUAGCUCAACAAGGAUGCAGGACCCACCUGGCUACCUCAGUUCUUACUGUCAUUCCUAAUUCCAAAAUCUUGGAUGAAGAUGACCAGGCAGAAUAAAGAUAUCUCCAGAGACUUUCAAGAGGGUAGCAUUUCUGCAGCUUUAGGGGAUUCCUUAAACCUUAUUGAGCUUUUCAAAGUGUAAUAAUUGUGGGAAACUUCUACUUCUGCCAAUUCCGUGUUGAACAAUGACCUGUAUUAAAGGACUUACACUGGGUAGUUAAUUCUGUUCUGUAUUAAGAUGAUUUUGCUA